rnacentral:rRNA from 1 species
UACGUAGGUGGCAAGCGUUAUCCGGAAUUAUUGGGCGUAAAGCGCGCGCAGGCGGUUUCUUAAGUCUGAUGUGAAAGCCCACGGCUCAACCGUGGAGGGUCAUUGGAAACUGGGGAACUUGAGUGCAGAAGAGAAAAGCGGAAUUCCACGUGUAGCGGUGAAAUGCGUAGAGAUGUGGAGGAACACCAGUGGCGAAGGCGGCUUCCUGGAUCACCCCUGACGCUGAGACGCGAAAGCGUGGGGAGCGAACGGG